AGAAAAUUUGAGUUAUUGCAUUUAAAAUUGAUUAUCAAAAUAAAUAAGUUAUUUCCGUUCGAUCAAAAAUUUUACGUGAAAUUUUAAUAUUUUAUCUUUUAAAUAUUUACAAAGUUGCUUUUUUUUAGCUAAAAGUCGCGAAUUUCUCCUCUACUUUAUCAAAAAUCAAAUAAGUAUUAAAGAUAAGAUCAUAAUGAAUGUGUGUUGUAUUUGAAAUAAGUUCGCAGUUAACUUUCGUUCGUGAAAUAAUCCACAAGUUACUUUAAAAAUGAGUCAAGAAAAAGAAAUUUUGAUGGAUACAGAAGCGAAAACUGCAAUAACGGAUCCUCCUCCUUACAAUUCAGUUAUUUCGGUUCAACCUUCAACCACAAAUAAUGAGAGUACUUCAAAAAAACCGAGACCUACAACUGUUAUUCACCUUUACGUUAAUGAAGCUGAUAGAUGCCCAAAGUGUCAAGUUGCUUUUUUGGAAUAUGAUGAAGUGACUUCCGCAAAUCAACAUGCGUGGUUCUUUUGCUUGCUUUUUGCAUGUUGCAUUCUUUCUUGGCUUCCUUACGUAAUGCAAAGUUGCGCAUUUAAACAAGGAAAAUGCAAAAAUUGUGGAUAUGUUGCAAAAGAAAUUUUAAAUACAACCAGAAUCACUAUCUUGUACAUGCUUGGUAUAAUUUUUGCUUUCCUAAUGAUAGUAAGAAUUUCUAUAAUCUUUUCGGAUGAUUCAAAGUAUCCAAUUUAGUUUUUACAUUUUGUGCAUCAGAAAAAAAAAUAUGAAUAAAAGCUUAAUUUUUUUUUUUAAUCAUAAUGAUUAAUUUUUCAUAUAAUUUUAAUAAAUCGGUAAUUUAUGUUUUUAUCAAAAUCAAAGCAAAAAAAAAAAUAUUAAUAAUGAAAAAGUUUUAAAAAAAAUUAAAAAUUAAAUUUUAUUAAUAAAAUUAAAUUUAAAGAAAAUUAAAUAAUUAAUUUUUAAUUAAAUUAAUUUUUUUAAUUAAAUUGAUUUUAUUCCUAAUAAUAAAAGAAUAAAUUCAAGUUUUAAUGAAAAGAAGAAAAAAAAAUUAAUAAAUAAUAUAAAAUUCUAUAAAAUUUUAAAAUAUACAUUACUCAACAUACAAUUACAAUUACAAAUACAAUUUCAUGACGACGCGAUUAUCAAGAAUAUCAAAAACCCAAAAGGUUAUCUGCAAUUUGAUUCAAAAUGCAAUUUGUUUUGCAUUAGAAUUAAGUUGGCAGUUUUCUUUCGAUCGUGAAAUAAUCAACAACUUAUUUUAAAAAUGAGCCAAGAAAAAGAAAUUUUGAUGAAUACAGAAGCAAAAACUUCUGAAACGGACCCUCCUCCUUAUAAUUCAAUUAUUUUGGAUAAACCUUCAACUUUUGAUAGUGAUAUUACCUCUGAAACACCGAAAACUACAACUGUUGUUCAUCUUUACGUCAAUGAAGCUGAUAGAUGCCCAAAUUGUCGGGUUGCCUUUUUGGAAUAUGAUCAAGUUUGUUCUGCGGAUCAGCAUGCGUGGUUCUGUUGCUUGCUUUUUGCAUGUUGCUGUCUUUCUUGGCUGCCGUAUGCAAUAACAAAUUGUGCAUAUAAACAAGGAAAAUGCAAACAAUGUGAAUAUAAGACUACAGAAACUCAAAAACCCAGAAUCGUUCUUUUGUAUAUGAUUGGUUUUUUUAUUGCUGUCUUUAUGAUUCAGAAAAUUAUUUUUGUUUUUUGCAAUAAUUAAUGAGUUUUAAUAAUAUAGUUUUCAAAGAAUUUUGAUUAUACUUAAUUUUUUUAAAAACAAUAAUGGAAUUUUAAAAAUUUAUAAAAUUUGAAUUGUAUUUACAUAAAUAAAAUUAUUUAAAUAAAAUAAAUAAUAUAUUUUUAAA